GGGUUGUGAGGUUAAGCGACUAAGCGUACACGGUGGAUGCCCUGGCAGUCAGAGGCGAUGAAGGGCGUACUAAUCUGCGAUAAGCGCCGGUAAGGUGAUAUGAACCGUUAUAACCGGCGAUACCCGAAUGGGGAAACCCAGUGUGAUUCGUCACACUAUCAUUAACUGAAUCCAUAGGUUAAUGAGGCGAACCGGGGGAACUGAAACAUCUAAGUACCCCGAGGAAAAGAAAUCAACCGAGAUUCCCCCAGUAGCGGCGAGCGAACGGGGAGGAGCCCAGAGCCUGAAUCAGCAUGUGUGUUAGUGGAAGCGUCUGGAAAGGCGCGCGAUACAGGGUGACAGCCCCGUACACAAAAGCGCAUGUGCUGUGAGCUCGAUGAGUAGGGCGGGACACGUGGUAUCCUGUCUGAAUAUGGGGGGACCAUCCUCCAAGGCUAAAUACUCCUGACUGACCGAUAGUGAACCAGUACCGUGAGGGAAAGGCGAAAAGAACCCCGGCGAGGGGAGUGAAAAAGAACCUGAAACCGUGUACGUACAAGCAGUGGGAGNNNNNNNNNNNNNNNNNNNNNNNNNNCCUUUUGUAUAAUGGGUCAGCGACUUAUAUUCUGUAGCAAGGUUAACCGAAUAGGGGAGCCGGAGGGAAACCGAGUCUUAAUUGGGCGUUAAGUUGCAGGGUAUAGACCCGAAACCCGGUGAUCUAGCCAUGGGCAGGUUGAAGGUUGGGUAACACUAACUGGAGGACCGAACCGACUAAUGUUGAAAAAUUAGCGGAUGACCUGUGGCUGGGGGUGAAAGGCCAAUCAAACCGGGAGAUAGCUGGUUCUCCCCGAAAGCUAUUUAGGUAGCGCCUCGUGAAUUCAUCUCCGGGGGUAGAGCACUGUUUCGGCUAGGGGGCCAUCCCGGCUUACCAACCCGAUGCAAACUGCGAAUACCGGAGAAUGUUAUCACGGGAGACACACGGCGGGUGCUAACGUCCGUCGUGAAGAGGGAAACAACCCAGACCGCCAGCUAAGGUCCCAAAGUCAUGGUUAAGUGGGAAACGAUGUGGGAAGGCCCAGACAGCCAGGAUGUUGGCUUAGAAGCAGCCAUCAUUUAAAGAAAGCGUAAUAGCUCACUGGUCGAGUCGGCCUGCGCGGAAGAUGUAACGGGGCUAAACCAUGCACCGAAGCUGCGGCAGCGACACUGUGUGUUGUUGGGUAGGGGAGCGUUCUGUAAGCCUGCGAAGGUGGCCUGUGAGGGUUGCUGGAGGUAUCAGAAGUGCGAAUGCUGACAUAAGUAACGAUAAAGCGGGUGAAAAGCCCGCUCGCCGGAAGACCAAGGGUUCCUGUCCAACGUUAAUCGGGGCAGGGUGAGUCGACCCCUAAGGCGAGGCCGAAAGGCGUAGUCGAUGGGAAACGGGUUAAUAUUCCCGUACUUGGUGUUACUGCGAAGGGGGGACGGAGAAGGCUAUGUUGGCCGGGCGACGGUUGUCCCGGUUUAAGCGUGUAGGUGUGUGUUCCAGGUAAAUCCGGUUCACUUUAACACUGAGGCGUGACGACGAGGCACUACGGUGCUGAAGCAACAAAUGCCCUGCUUCCAGGAAAAGCCUCUAAGCAUCAGGUAACAUCAAAUCGUACCCCAAACCGACACAGGUGGUCAGGUAGAGAAUACCAAGGCGCUUGAGAGAACUCGGGUGAAGGAACUAGGCAAAAUGGUGCCGUAACUUCGGGAGAAGGCACGCUGACACGUAGGUGAAGUGAUUUACUCAUGGAGCUGAAGUCAGUCGAAGAUACCAGCUGGCUGCAACUGUUUAUUAAAAACACAGCACUGUGCAAACACGAAAGUGGACGUAUACGGUGUGACGCCUGCCCGGUGCCGGAAGGUUAAUUGAUGGGGUCAGCGCAAGCGAAGCUCCUGAUCGAAGCCCCGGUAAACGGCGGCCGUAACUAUAACGGUCCUAAGGUAGCGAAAUUCCUUGUCGGGUAAGUUCCGACCUGCACGAAUGGCGUAAUGAUGGCCAGGCUGUCUCCACCCGAGACUCAGUGAAAUUGAACUCGCUGUGAAGAUGCAGUGUACCCGCGGCAAGACGGAAAGACCCCGUGAACCUUUACUAUAGCUUGACACUGAACAUUGAGCCUUGAUGUGUAGGAUAGGUGGGAGGCUUUGAAGUGUGGACGCCAGUCUGCAUGGAGCCGACCUUGAAAUACCACCCUUUAAUGUUUGAUGUUCUAACGUGGACCCGUUACCCGGGUUGCGGACAGUGUCUGGUGGGUAGUUUGACUGGGGCGGUCUCCUCCUAAAGAGUAACGGAGGAGCACGAAGGUUGGCUAAUCCUGGUCGGACAUCAGGAGGUUAGUGCAAUGGCAUAAGCCAGCUUGACUGCGAGCGUGACGGCGCGAGCAGGUGCGAAAGCAGGUCAUAGUGAUCCGGUGGUUCUGAAUGGAAGGGCCAUCGCUCAACGGAUAAAAGGUACUCCGGGGAUAACAGGCUGAUACCGCCCAAGAGUUCAUAUCGACGGCGGUGUUUGGCACCUCGAUGUCGGCUCAUCACAUCCUGGGGCUGAAGUAGGUCCCAAGGGUAUGGCUGUUCGCCAUUUAAAGUGGUACGCGAGCUGGGUUUAGAACGUCGUGAGACAGUUCGGUCCCUAUCUGCCGUGGGCGCUGGAGAACUGAGGGGGGCUGCUCCUAGUACGAGAGGACCGGAGUGGACGCAUCACUGGUGUUCGGGUUGUCAUGCCAAUGGCACUGCCCGGUAGCUAAAUGCGGAAGAGAUAAGUGCUGAAAGCAUCUAAGCACGAAACUUGCCCCGAGAUGAGUUCUCCCUGAGACUUAAAGUCUCCUGAAGGAACGUUGAAGACGACGACGUUGAUAGGCCGGGUGUGUAAGCGCAGCGAUGCGUUGAGCUAACCGGUACUAAUGAACCGUGAGGCUUAACCUUACAACGCCGAAG
rnacentral:rRNA from 2 species